rnacentral:lncRNA from 1 species
ACAUACUCCUUGAAUGGCUCAGAAUAAGGCAUUAUACACAGGUUCAAAGUCAUAUUUGUAUCAAGAUCAUGUAGCAGAUGAACUCAAGAGGGAUCCCAAUACUUGCAUCAGACGAAAGUUCAAUUCACAAUGGCUUGGCUUCAGAAAACUGGGCAUUGGCCAAGUCCUUUUGCAUAGGGAGUGUUACCUAAUUAGAAGCCC